UACGGAGGGUGCAAGCGUUAUCCGGAUUCACUGGGUUUAAAGGGUGCGUAGGAGGGCAGGUAAGUCAGUGGUGAAAUCUCCAAGCUUAACUUGGAAACUGCCGUUGAUACUAUCUGUCUUGAAUAUUGUGGAGGUGAGCGGAAUAUGUCAUGUAGCGGUGAAAUGCUUAGAUAUGACAUAGAACACCAAUUGCGAAGGCAGCUCGCUACACAUAUAUUGACGCUGAUGGACGAAAGCGUGGGGAGCGAACAGG
rnacentral:rRNA from 1 species